UUUACCAGCCAGCAGUACUGUAUCAUUUUAGUCUUUUUAGUCAAUAAGUUGUCUUUGUCAUAGUUUGUCAUAGUUUGAUAAUUGUGUAGUUUAGAGUAAUUAUCGAGGUUAGCUGGCCAGCUAUUUUCGUCCCCUGCGACGCCAUUUCCAAACCUAGCCAACUAUUACCGACGAGCAGCAUUGUAGAAACUAAAUACAUUACAAAGGAACGUCUUGAUUAGUGUUAUGUUAGCUAGCUACAUAGUUGCCUUUGUAUCAUGAUAAGGUGUAGUACUGAAACAAUCGAGGUUACCUAGCCAGCUACACUUUCAAACAAAGUCAACAACGCAGCCACUACUAGCUAGCCUACUUCACCAGCCAGCAGUACUGUAUCAUUUUAAUCAUUUUAGUCAAUAAGAUUUUUGCAACGUAAGCUUAACUUUCUGAACAUUCGAGACGUGUAGUCCACUUGUCAUUCCAAUCUCCUUUGCAUUAGCGUAGCCUCUUCUGUAGCCUGUCAACUAUGUGUCUGUCUAUCCCUGUUCUCUCCCCUCUGCACAGGCCAUACAAACGCUUCACACCGCGUGGCCGCUGCCACUCUAACCUGGUGGUCCCAGCGCGCACGACCCACGUGGAGUUCCAGGUCUCCGGCAGCCUCUGGAACUGCCGGUCUGCGGCCUAUGCUAUCUCAGCCUAUGCUACCCUCCAGUCCCUCGACUUCUUGGCGCUGACGGAAACAUGGAUUACCACAGAUAACACUGCUACUCCUACUGCUCUCUCCUCGUCUGCCCACGUGUUCUCGCACACCCCGAGAGCUUCUGGUCAGCGGGGUGGUGGCACUGGGAUCCUCAUCUCUCCCAAGUGGACAUUCUCUCUUUCUCCCCUGACACAUCUGUCUAUCGCCUCCUUUGAAUUCCAUGCUGUCACAGUUACCAGCCCUUUCAAGCUUCCUCCAGGUUCCCUUGGAGAGUUCAUCAAUGAGCUUGACACCUUGAUAAGUUCCUUUCCUGAGGAUGGCUCACCUCUCACAGUUCUGGGUGACUUCAACCUCCCCACGUCUACCUUUGACUCAUUCCUCUCUGCCUCCUUCUUUCCACUCCUCUCCUCUUUUGACCUCACCCUCUCACCUUCCCCCUCACUCACAAGGCAGGCAAUACGCUUGACCUCAUCUUUACUAGAUGCUGUUCUUCCACUAAUCUCAUUGCAACUCCCCUCCAAGUCUCCGACCACUACCUUGUAUCCUUUUCCCUCUCGCUCUCAUCCAACACUUCUCACUCUGCCCCUGCUCGGAUGGUAUUGCGCCGUCCCAACCUUCGCUCUCUCUCUCCCGCUACUCUCUCCUCUUCCAUCCUAUCAUCUCUUCCCUCUGCUCAAACCUUCUCCAACCUAUCUCCUGAUUCUGCCUCCUCAACCCUCCUCUCCUCCCUUUCUGCAUCCUUUGACUCUCUAUGUCCACUAUCCUCCAGGCCGGCUCGGUCCUCCCCUCCUGCUCCGUGGCUCGAUGACUCAUUGCGAGCUCACAGAACAGGGCUCCGGGCAGCCGAGCGGAAAUGGAGGAAAACUCGCCUCCCUGCGGACCUGGCAUCCUUUCACUCCCUCCUCUCUACAUUUUCCUCUUCUGUCUCUGCUGCUAAAGCCACUUUCUACCACUCUAAAUUCCAAGCAUCUGCCUCUAACCCUAGGAAGCUCUUUGCCACCUUCUCCUCCCUCCUGAAUCCUCCUCCCCCCCCUCC
ensembl:lncRNA